UUUUCUAAAAAGGCCAUCAUGUCAUCAAGGAUUUUAUUUUAAUUUUAGGCUAUGCCGUUUGAAUUCCAAAGCUUUUUGAGAACAGCCAGUGCGUAAUUUGCCAGUUAUGCAACUGCUAUUAAACUGACAGCCAGUUAUUUCAUUUUAAUUGAUUAACUUAUUUUUUAAGCCACAGACGGACGAAAAGGACUUGGUAUGUUGCAUCUGAAAUUAUGAAUGCUGACAGUUUUUAAUUAUGGAUUUAGAAAUAUUCCAUUUCAUCAGCAUGCAUCUAAAUGGAAUCGCCGAGGGAUAAAGAAAAAAAAAUAGGAAUUAAUUUAUUUGAGGAAUAUAAAAAAAAGUUGCCUUAUAAAUAAUGCAUUGACGACAGUCCGUUACUUUGCCAGUGUAUUCUUGAAGAAAACAAGGGGCUCGCACAAGAGCUGAAGACUGCCGCUCUUAAAACAAGAGAAAGAUGGUCUGACGACUCUUUUUUUUUCUUCCUUUUUUAAAAUUUUAUUUGUUGGGGGAAAAUCGACGUGGAAUAUUCCCGGCACUCCAGAGGCUGUUUCCUCACUCACUCACACACACGCACACACCUUUAGCGCCAGAGAUUUCGGAUUACUGCAAGUGUAAGGACGACUGAAGCGCACGUAUAGGCUGAGAAGUUGUCUGAAGGAGAAACUAACGGGAGUUUAUUGGGCUUUUGGAGAACCUUAAAAGAAAAAAACAAAAUCACACAGAGGAUGUUAUAACCGACAUUACUGGGUUUCUUCCAGGAUUUCAUUUGAAAUGUGACAGCAGAGCAGGACGGAUCUACCGUGCAGCACGAGUGCUCUGCCUCUCCCGGCUCGCCCCGCUUUCAUUUUAUCCACCUGCAUAUUCUACAAAAAAGGAAAAGCCUGUGCGCUUCCAAGUGGGAUGAUGCGCUCGUGAAGCGGCGCCUUACUUAUUGUAUGCACUAUGCAUCGUCCAUCCUUGGGCUGUAGUAGCUUGUUGUUGCUUGCUAGUGGAGCUAUAAAGGGAACGCGGGCGAAUGGUUUGGAUUUCUUCUUCUGCUUCUUCUUUCAUCAUCAUCAUCAACAUCAUCAUCUUCUCCCUUCUCCUCAUCAUCCAGUAUCCCGAUCGUUCGAUGAAGAGUAACGCGGCUUUCUGUUGAUCGCUGUGCAUGGAAGCCGCCCUUUCAGCGCCAGCCUGCCUGCGCAUCUUCUUCCUGGACUGCCGCUGCUGCUGCUGCAAAAAACAAGACUAGCGGAGCCGAAACGAAUGAUUUAUUCAUGGACAGAAAUUAAGGCCCAGCUGGGUUCACGUAGCCUCAGCCCUAGUAUGGACUCAGCUGCCAUAUCCCAUUAACCACAGGCCUCCUUCAUUUGCUCCUGGAAUUGCAUGCCACGUGCCAGCCUUGGAGGAACCAGCUUGGCCUUAAGAUGUGUGCAGAUCUUCUUACACAUCCAAGAUAGAGUUUCAGGUCACAGCCGGACCAUGGAGAGGCUUAUAUUUUACCUUCUGAUGCUUAGCACCUCAAUAAAGGCACAGGUGUGUCCUAAACGGUGCAUGUGCCAGACCCUUUCACCCUCCUUUGCCAUCCUGUGUGCCAAGACAGGUCUGUUGUUUGUACCAACAGUUAUUGACCGAAGAACUGUAGAACUCCGGUUAACAGACAAUUUCAUUACUGUGGUGCGGAGGAAGGAUUUUGCCAACAUGACCAGCCUCUUACACCUAACUCUGUCCAGGAACACAAUAAGCCAGAUAAUGCCUUAUACCUUUGCUGACUUAAAGGGGCUGCGGGCCCUCCACUUGGACAGUAAUCGACUGACAGUUGUUGGGGAUGACCACUUCCGAGGUCUGACGAAUCUGAGACACCUGAUUCUCAGCAACAACCAGCUGCAUGAAAUCUCUCCCAAUUCUUUUGACGACUUUCUAGGCACUUUAGAAGAUUUGGAUCUUUCCUACAAUAACUUAGUCAACAUCCCUUGGGACACGAUUGGACGCCUGACAAAUGUCAAUACGUUAAAUAUGGAUCACAACUUAAUCGAUUUUGUUCCCGAAGGGAUUUUCUCAAAUCUCCACAAGCUUGCACGAUUGGAUAUGACCUCAAACAAACUAAAAAAAAUUCCUCCGGACCCCCUUUUUCUGAGAAUUCCUGUCUAUGCCAAAUCCAAGGGAUCACCCUUAACCUCUCUGGUUCUCAGCUUUGGUGGGAAUCCUUUACACUGCAAUUGUGAGCUGCUGUGGCUCCGAAGACUGACUAGGGAGGAUGACUUGGAAACCUGUGCCUCUCCCCCCGAUCUAACGGCGAAAUACUUCUGGACUAUCCCGGAAGAGGAGUUCAUUUGUGAUCCUCCUGUUAUCACAAGGAAAUCCCCCAAGACAUUUGUAAUGGAAGGCCAGUCAAUCAGUCUCAAGUGUAAAGCUAAUGGAGAUCCCGAUCCAUCCAUCCACUGGGUUUCUCCAGAGGGGAAACUGAUAUCCAAUACCUCCAGGACUGUUUCCUUUGACAAUGGGAGUUUAGAAAUUAACAUUGCUACCGUAAAGGAUACUGGAGUUUUUACUUGCAUUGCAUCUAAUGCUGCCGGGGAAUCAACGGCUCCUGUAGAGCUUGUAGUGAAUCCUCUACCCCAUCUUGCCAACAGCACGAGUCGGGUUCGGGAGCCAGAACCUGGACCUUCGGAUAUUCUCACUUCAGCUAAAUCUACUUCUCCAUCUACCAAUGAUACUAAAUCUACACCGGACAGGAAGGUGAUUUUGGUUGAACUCACAACAAACUCGGCUCUGGUUAAGUGGCCGGUCCAGAGGCAUAUUCCAGGGAUUCGAAUGUACCAGGUUCAGUACAACAGCUCAACAGACGACACCCUUGUGUACAGGAUGAUCCCUUCCUCCAGCCAAGAUUUCCUGGUUAAGGACCUGAUCUCAGGGCGUGAGUAUGACCUCUGUGUUUUGGCUGUCUAUGAUGAUGGCAUCACUUCUCUGACUGCUACCAGGGUCGUGGGUUGUCUGCAGUUCACCACCGAUCAAGAAUAUAGCCAGUGCCAGUCUAUGCAUAGCCAAUUCCUGGGAGGAACCAUGAUCAUCAUCAUCGGAGGCAUCAUUGUGGCCUCUGUACUGGUCUUCAUUAUAAUCCUAAUGAUCCGCUACAAAGUCUAUAGCAACCAAGGGGAGCCGCGGAAGGCAAAAGUCAACAAUGUUUGCUCACAGACUAAUGGGAGUCAGUCAGGACAAGUGACCCGCUCUGCCUCUAAAGGGACAGAGAACCAAGAGGAGCAAAUACAAGCUGCUACAGGAGGUGGUGCUGGUGGAGGAGGCACAGGGGCAAGUUCAAGUGCUGCCAUGAAGGACCCUAAUACUGUGGCGCUAGUCAUGGAAUGUGAAAGGGUGACACAGAUAUCAGAAAUGACUGCAGAGGACAUUUUGUCACCUCUGAAAAGACAGAAAUCAAGGACUAGCUUUGAUCUAACAAGGCGAUCGUCUAUGUCUUGUAAGGAAAUGAAAAGCCCAGAAGGAUCUGCAGAUGCACAGAUGGCUCAGGCUGCAGAAGAGAAGAAGAGUCCCCGGGAAUGGAGUGAUUUUAAAAUUUGAUGACUUCGUUCACAGACCCUGGGAAACAGCCAUCAUUCUAAAGAAACAUUCCAAGUCGUGUUGUCCUACUGGAAUCGACGUGGUGGCCAGUACGACUUGUUUGUCUUACCCCCAAAAUGGACGUUCCUUCUCUUUUCCUAUAACCCCUAUGAAACACAAAGACUUUUAAAGUAAACUGCAUUUGCACUGAGCUCACUCCCCGACACCACCUUUGAUCACUGACUUUAAAGCACCUACAGCCUUUUAUGUUUGCUUCAGAUCGGACUAGCCAUAUAUUUCCAAGCUCUACAACACUACUGGACUGGAUAGGAGGACACAGCAGCAGGUAUGCCCCUUGUUUCCUGAAAACUAAAAGUCUACAUUACAAUUCUUCUUUUUUCAAAAAGGAAGAGACAAUGGAUAAUUUCUGCUGCUGCGCUGCCCCUUGAUCACUUAAAAUUAUAAAGUUAUAAUAAGUUUAAUGAGGAUUGUUGCCAUCACACGCCAAUCGGAGCUUUCACAAAAAAAUAAGAGUCCCAUUUCAAUUCUCAAGUCAUUCUUUUUUUUUGUAUUUGUACAUACUUGUGUUUCAAAUCUUAUAGUUUUGUACAUGUAAUUUUUUAUGGUGUGUGAAAUUUUUUUUAUAAUAAAAAUUCCAAAUAAAUAAAAA